rnacentral:lncRNA from 1 species
GGCGGGGCCAGCGAGGCAAGAUGGAGUUAGUGCAGGUCCUGAAACGCGGGCUGCAGCAGAUCACCGGCCACGGCGGUCUCCGAGGCUAUCUACGGGUUUUUUUCAGGACAAAUGAUGCGAAGAAAGAAGAUUCAGGAGUGGAUCCCACCUUCAACACCUUACAAGUAAAGACAAUGAAGAACAGUUGAAACAUGCAAAAUAUGGAGCUUUUCAUGUAAUUACUCUUUUACUGUUUACCAUUCACUAUAAUUCACAAUUAAAAUUGUGUGACUAAAC